rnacentral:rRNA from 1 species
CCUACGGGAGGCAGCAGUGGGGAAUAUUGGGCAAUGGGCGCAAGCCUGACCCAGCAACGCCGCGUGAAGGAAGAAGGCUCUCGGGUUGUAAACUUCUUUUUAUGGGGAAGAGCAGAUGACGGUACCCCUUGAAUAAGCUAUGGCGAACUACUGGCCAGCAGCCGCGGUAAUACGUAGGUGGCAAGCGUUGUCCGGAUUUACUGGGUGUAAAGGGCGUGCAGCCGGUGAGACAAGUCAGAUGUGAAAUCUACGGGCUCAACCCGUGAACUGCAUUUGAAACUGUUUCACUUGAGUGUCGGAGAGGUAGUCGGAAUGCGUUGUGUAGCGGUGAAAUGCAUAGAUAUAAGGAAGAACACCGGUGGCGAAGGCAGAUUACUAGACGAUAACUGACGGUGAGGCGCGAAAGCGUGGGGAGCAAACAGGAUUAGAUACCCUUGUAGUC